AAAAAAACAUAGUUGCAUGGAUCUGGUUCUCAAGGUCGUCGAUCCUCUAAGGCUACAAACUACGAUGCGCGGAAAUGGGACUUGGUAGCGUUUUCCAGUGUCCGAAACGUUUCCGACAUAGAAACGAGAUGACACAGCUCGUAGACGUUUCUCAUGAGUUUUCAGCUACGGACAUGCGUUCUAGCAAUGUGGUGUAGCUGUGAUAAACAGUGGCAACGGCAAUGGCAGUGACAGUGCAAGUGAGGGAUCCCUUCUCUGCCUCUCGCAGUCUGGCCUUUAACCUUCUCCAUUCCAUUGACAGUGACUUGCCUGCCUCGCAGUCUCGCCUAUUGUGAUGCUUUGGUUGUUUCUUGGUUUUUUGAUUGCUUUACAUUGGAAUGGGUUUUGAUUGUUUUAAGUUUUUGAAUAUGGUUUGGUUUGGACGUUU
rnacentral:misc_RNA from 1 species